rnacentral:ncRNA from 1 species
AAAAAAUUUAAUUUAUAUUUAAUAAUUUAUUUUAUAAAUAAUAAUAUAAAUAAAUUUUAAUAAAAAUUUAUUAAAUUUAAAUAAUAAAUAAAUGUAUAAUUAAUAUUUGUAAUGAUUAAAAUUAUAAAAAUAAUAAAUAGUAAUUUAUAAAAAUAAUAAUAAAAUUAGUGCCAGCAAUUGCGGUUAGACUAAUAUUAUAAAUAAAUUUAGGUAUAAUAAAGAAUUAAGUAAAAAAUUUAAAACAAAUUUAUUAAAUAAGUGAAUUUUAUAUGGUGAAAUAUUAAAAUAAUUAGAUAAUAAAUUAUAUAAAAAUAAAUUUAAAAAAUUAUAGGUAAAACUAGGAUUAGAUACCCUAUUAUUAUAAAUAAGAUUAAUUUAUAAGAAAUUAAAUGUAAAUCAUUAAAUUUAAAAAAUUUGACGGUAUUUUAAAUAGUUAGAGGAAUUUGUUAAUUAAAUGAUAAUCCACGAGUGGGAGGUCCUAAUAAAGCUUUUAUGUAUUGUUGUAUAAAAAUUAUUUUAUAAGAAUAUAUAAUUAGAAUAUUUUAUUUAAUUUGAAUUCAAAUCAAAAUGUAGAGUUAUUAGGUUGUAAAUGAAUUACACUUUAAUUUAAUAUAAUAAUUAUUUUUUUUAAUAAAAGUAGUUUUUAGGAUUUAAUAGUAAAUUUAAAAAAAUUUUUAAAUUGAAAUAUUAAUUAAAAUAUGUACAAAUUGCCCGUCAUUUUCAUAAAUAAAUAAUUGAAAGAAGUCGUAACAAAGUAAAUGUACAGGAAUGUGUAUUUAGAUUAAU